rnacentral:rRNA from 1 species
UCCAGACUCCUACGGGAGGCAGCAGUGGGGAAUAUUGCACAAUGGGGGAAACCCUGAUGCAGCGACGCCGCGUGAGUGAAGAAGUAUUUCGGUAUGUAAAGCUCUAUCAGCAGGGAAGAAAUAGCGACCUUUGGGUCGCCAGACGGUACCUGAUUAAGAAGCCCCGGCUAACUACGUGCCGGCAGCCGCGGUAAUACGUAGGGGGCAAGCGUUAUCCGGAUUUACUGGGUGUAAAGGGAGCGUAGACGGCGGCGCAAGUCUGAAGUGAAAUGCCGGGGCUUAACCCCGGAACUGCUUUGGAAACUGUGCAGCUAGAGUGCAGGAGAGGUAAGUGGAAUUCCUAGUGUAGCGGUGAAAUGCAUAGAUAUUAGGAGGAACACCAGUGGCGAAGGCGAGUUGCUGGACUGUAACUGACACUGAGGCACGAAAGCGUGGGGAGCAAACAGGAUUAGAUACCCCUGUAACA